rnacentral:rRNA from 1 species
CCUACGGGAGGCAGCAGUGGGGAAUAUUGGACAAUGGGCGAAAGCCUGAUCCAGCAAUUCCGCGUGUGUGAAGAAGGCCUUCGGGUUGUAAAGCACUUUAGUUGGGAAGAAACAGCUUGGCCACACCAAGCCUUGACGGUACCCAAAGAAUAAGCACCGGCUAACUCUGUGCCAGCAGCCGCGGUAAUACAGAGGGUGCAAGCGUUAAUCGGAUUUACUGGGCGUAAAGGGUGCGUAGGUGGUUUUGUAAGUCGGAUGUGAAAGCCUGGGGCUCAACCUCAGAAUUGCACUCGAUACUGCAAGACUAGAGUUCGGUAGAGGGCGGCGGAAUUCCCGGUGUAGCGGUGAAAUGCGUAGAUAUCGGGAGGAACAUCAAUGGCGAAGGCAGCCGCCUGGGCCUGAACUGACACUGAGGCACGAAAGCGUGGGUAGCAAACAGGAUUAGAUACCCUGGUAGUCCACGCUGUAAACGAUGAGAACUUGACGUUGGUUCGUUUUACGAAUCGGUGUCGCAGCUAACGCGAUAAGUUCUCCGCCUGGGGAUACGGCCGCAAGGUUGAAACUCAAAUGAAUUGACGGCUGAGAGNGCGAGACGACGACGAGGGAGAGG